rnacentral:rRNA from 1 species
GAUGAACGCUGGCGGCAUGCCUAACACAUGCAAGUCGAUCGGUAAGGCUCUUCGGAGUCCACGGGAGGCGGACGGCUGAGUAACGCGUAGGAACACACCCUGCAGUGAGGGAUAAGACACCGAAAGGUGUUCUAAUACCGCAUACGGUCUUCGGAUUAAAGCAUUUAUGCGCUGAAGGAGUGGCCUGCGUCAUAUUAGAUAGUUGGUGAGGUAAUGGCUCACCAAGUCGAUGAUGUGUAGCUGGUCUGAGAGGAUGAUCAGCCAGACUGGAACUGAGACACGGUCCAGACUCCUACGGGAGGCAGCAGUGAGGAAUAUUUCACAAUGAGCGAAAGCGUGAUGGAGCAAUGCCGCGUGCAGGAUGAAGGCCCUCGGGUUGUAAACUGCUUUUAUAAGAGAAGAUUAUGACGGUAACUUAUGAAUAAGGGACGGCUAACUACGUG